rnacentral:rRNA from 1 species
GAUGAACGCUGGCGGCGUGCCUAAUACAUGCAAGUCGAGCGAACAGAUGAGGAGCUUGCUCCUCUGACGUUAGCGGCGGACGGGUGAGUAACACGUGGAUAACCUACCUAUAAGACUGGGAUAACUUCGGGAAGCCGGAGCUAAUACCGGAUAAUAUAUUGAACCGCAUGGUUCAAUAGUGAAAGACGGUUUUGCUGUCACUUAUAGAUGGAUCCGCGCCGCAUUAGCUAGUUGGUAAGGUAACGGCUUACCAAGGCAACGAUGCGUAGCCGACCUGAGAGGGUGACCGGCCACACUGGAACUGAGACACGGUCCAGACUCCUACGGGAGGCAGCAGUAGGGAAUCUUCCGCAAUGGGCGAAAGCCUGACGGAGCAACGCCGCGUGAGUGAUGAAGGUCUUCGGAUCGUAAAACUCUGUUAUUAGGGAAGAACAAAUGUGUAAGUAACUAUGCACGUCUUGACGGUACCUAAUCAGAAAGCCACGGCUAACUACGUG